AUCUAUUUUUUUUUUUUUUUUUUUUUUUUAGAGCCAGUAUAUUUUUUUGCU
rnacentral:ribozyme from 1 species